rnacentral:tRNA from 1 species
GGGGCCGUGGCGCAGAGGGAGCGCGCUUCCUUGGCAUGGAAGAGGUCACGGGUUCAAUUCCCGUCGGCUCCACCA